rnacentral:lncRNA from 1 species
UGAAGACCCAAACCACUACCCCCAACAUCCUCCUUUGUCUUUCAUUAAACAUAGUAUUUAAGGUGGUGGUUUUAGACAUUCUGGCCAUUAUUCAGUUUUCCUGGUUUCUCCCUUGUAUACAGAUUAUUAUACCUUGUUUGACUUUCUCCUCCUAUUCUGUUUCAUGUCAAUUUAGUUCUUGGACCAGCCAGAAGAACCCAGAGGGUAGAGGAAUUGUCUUCCUUCCCUUCCUUUCCUGAUGAAGGUGGGAUAAAACUUAACUGGCUGGAUGCUGCUCGCUCCUGGACUACUGCAACUGAGAGAUCCUGGACCUCUGACAAGAGCUGACAGAAGCAGGACACAAUUGGAAACAUUGGUUAUAUUCCCAAAGCUUUGACUGGAAUGUCAUAUUUGAGAGAAACAUACACAGACUCAGAUAUGACCAGACAGCUUUUGAGGAAUAAAGGUUGACUUUGUGAAUUCAAGCCACUUGGAAAGCCACUUGGUGAAAUAAAGCACAGGGUUCCCAACAAACUUACUAGGUGAGUAAAGAAGGUCACCUUCCAGGUAGAUACAAAAAAACCCCAGGAUAUUUUGGGGGAACCUUAAGAGAAGAGAGGAAUUCACCCAAAUCUAAGAUAUUGCAGCCAGUCUGAUGAUAAGUUCUUGGGUUUGCUGUCCUGGCCUUGAGAGGCCUAUAAAGUUCGAUCUGAGUUUCCUUAUGAAAAGUUCUAGCAAAACAUACUUAACAGAGCCUAGAUAAUCAAUUGCUAUUCUUGCUGUCCUUGUGUAAAUAAUUGGGCCAAGUUGAUUGAAACUAGACAUUUUACAAACCAGUUAGUCUUAAUUUAGCUAUCUUAGUUAAAAAUGAAGGUGAUUUUAAAGUGAAAAGUUAUGUUUCAGUAGAAGCUAUCACACACAUUUAUGAAUAUUCGAUUCUAGUUCUGUAAAUUGUCCUUGAGGUUUUGUUUCAUAUCUGCAAACUGCACUGGGUCCUAAAUUCUUCUAGUCUCCUGAAAUAUCUGGUUAAAAAUCUCCAAACUAAUGUUUUCAAUUUUUUCCAUCAUUUUCAUUUGGAAUUGUUGAGAACUGAAAAUACCCUUGUUCCUGAAGCUCUACAAGCUGAAGCUGGACAACAUGAUGUAAACUUAAGAGAUUCAUGUCUGCUACUGUGUAAGCCACUCAAAAGGAAGCCUGAACACCUGAUGACAUCAUCAGAGACAUUUCAAAAUGCAAAAGAUGCUUCAAAACUGACAUCUAGAAAUCUUCUUGACUGACUGUCCCCUGGACUCAGAAACAGGUUUAUAAUUUGCUCCAACCAUUAACCUUAUUUUUCUUUUUUUUCCCAUAGAAAUUCUUUUUAUUAAAUACCUGAUUGCUUGCUUACACAAUAUAAGCCCAGCUUUGAGAGCCUACCUGCAUCACCACCUUCUGAAAUGAAUUUAACUGAAUUAUUAUCAGCACUAAAAGACCUAUUCAGUGACAUGGAACAAUCUAUCAACUCAGCUUCUGGACUGUGAAACCUCUUAAAGUUUCAAAGGUGGGAGUGUGGGGGAUCAGAAUUGGUCACCCCAAAAUGUGUCUCCUUGGCUUGAUUAUUUUUAAGAACAAAAAACUCUGAGAGAAAUUUUGGCUUUCCUCCUAGCUGCCUGAAAGAAUCAGUCCAGGAAGAAGCUGAUACCAUAAGAUAACCAUAGUAUAAUUUAAAGUAGGUGUGAUACAAAGGCACCAACAAGCGCUUUUUUUAAUCAAAGCUUUGCCUAUACAUGGCUGUGCAAACACUUGUUUAUCAAACAUUUGCAUUUUGUCUCCAUGUAAAUUGUCUUCUUCCUCUUUGAAGACCCAAACCACUACCCACCACACUCCAUUGUCUUUAGCUGAAGAUGGUAUUUAAGGUGGUGGCUUUGGCUUUUCUGGUGAGUUACUCAGUUUUCCUAUGUAUGCAUGUUAUUAUACAUGGGGUUUCUCCCAUGUGUACGGUUACUAAAAUUUGUUUCAUAUCUAUCAUUAUUCUGUCUCAUGUUAAUUUAAUUCUUGGACCAACCAGAAGGGCCUAGAGGGCAGAGGAAUUGUCUUCCUCCCUUACAAUGGCUCAAGUCUAGACUGGGUUAGGUGCCCACCCCGUCCCUGAAUGUCUUGGCUUCCAGGGCUCACCUCUUUCAUUGCACUCAAAUCCCUUUUUCUCUCUUCUUCAGUAGGCAGAGACCCUUGAGAGAAGGGAUUUCUCUUGUUCAUCUCUGUAAACCAUGCAGCACAGUGCCUGACUUGGUGAAUACUCAGAAAUUGUCUUCUGAUUCCAUUUUAAAGAUGUGGUAUCUUAUGUUCAGAGAGGAUAAGCUAGAAAGUGAGAGAGCAUUGGCCAGAACUCACAUCUUCUCAACUCCUAGUCCCAUGCUCUUUCUCUGGCACCAGGCUGCUUUAUGGAAUACUACCUCACAUUGGUUUAGUGGAGCACAGUACCAGUAGUUGCAAACAAAUUGAUUUUUAACAUUAGCCUGAGUUAGGCAUGGUUGGGAAGAUAAAUUUGUUGUGAUUUGCUUCAUACCAUGAAAUGUAUUCUAAAGCUGAGUAGAAAUGAGUCUCAUGUUGCCUACUUAUUUGGAGUAUUCAAAUCACAUUCUUUUCACAAACAUGUGUAAUCAAGGAUCAAUUGUGCCUCUGCAGAGGAGUUCUAGAAUUCCCAGGCUGGGAGAGACUCCAAGGAUCAUAUAUUCACUCCCUUGGGUGUUCAGAUGAAAGAGUCUAGAAAGAUCCAGAUAGGUUUCACAACUUGGCAAAGGCAACAUACUUCAAAGGGACAUACAAGAAAUCAAGCAUCCUAAUCCUAGGCCAGUGAUAUUGUUUAAUACACUGGGCAAAUACUCAGUCUUCUUUUGCUUUUUAUUCUGACAUUUAUUAUUUGAAAGUGUCUCUGGGUAUCCUCUCAGUCCCACCAUGAAGAGUGACCUCCUUUCCUGAGGUGGCCAUAGAGUGGCCUGAGCAGCCUGGAAUUUUUUCUCUGUAUGGAUUUUCACUGUUGUGUGAGAUCCUCCUCUGUGGGAAGGGGGAGGGACAAGCACAGGGCAGGCGUGUCCUGAAGUUCAGUUCUUCCUGGAAGGAGGCCAGGCCAUGUUCUCAGUGCCAGGUAAGCUCAUUCUCAGGGAGGAACAGAGGUAGGAACAGUGUGUGGGGACUGGGUUUACCAUGAUUUUGUACAGUCCUGUCUGGGUCCAGGUCUCAUGUUUGGAGGCUCAGAGUACCUUGAGAAAAUUUAUGGGAUACAAAGCCAAGAAAUGAAAUUGAAAUUAGACAAGAGUAUCUUCCAGGAUUGGAAUAUUUUGGAUUUCAACUUUGAACUAACUUUAUUUAUUUCCACUCCAUGAACCUUGUAUUGAUAUGUAAUUUUUGUGAGUUACACCUAAAUUGUAGAGUAUUUGAAGGAGAAUGCCACUCUUGGAGAAACUCAAAUCAUGCACAGGUAGGAGCAUCUAAAAAUCAUCAGGUAGUGGAGACAAGGAAGGGAGAUACUGGGGGUGUUUGAUCAUAACCUUCAGCCAUCUUUUAGGAGAGAGCUUGAUUAUUAGAAUACAACUGAAUUCCCAUGUCUGUUUAUGCAUUGUAUCUAUGGCAAUAUGUUGGUUUGAUUGAAAUAUAUGACAAAAACCUGGUCUUACAUAGAUAUGGAGUUCAUAAAGAGAUGUUAGUUGCAAUGUAAGAUGUUAAUAAACUUUUCAUAUUCUGUGACAUUAAAAUCCAUUGGUCUUUGUUGAAUUUUGGAUGGAAAUUUUACCCAAGCAUGGUUUUGCAACAUUAUUCUUUGGUCACUUGGGAAAUAAUUGGUUCACUGAGUUAGGCAACUUCCACGUGUUGACACAUUUCAUUAUACUGUAUCAAAAUAUCACAGUAGUUAAUAUCACCGCCAAUAUUUUGAAGUCAGAAAAGUAUUUAAAUACUGGGGAGCUAUCCAGCUCAUGGGGGAAGAUAUAAGUUUUCUUAAACUCUAAUUUUUGCCUAAAGCUUAGAUUUUUGUCUUUAGCAACAACUAUGAGUUGUUUUUCUUCAUGUGGCAGGCUCAGUUCAUUCACUUUCAAGAAGAUGCCUUUGAAACACACAAGCAUGAAUAACCAUGGUUUGUCUGUCAGUCAUUCUUCCAAGCAAAACUGGUGUUUCAUGUAAAAAGUGGCUAGUUCAGCUUGCAACUCAAACAAUUGCACAAAUGUUUUCCUUGAGAUAACUACCAUAAUUUGGAAGGCAGCACAAGUUCUUUAAGUUUAUUCCCCCUUUUGUCAUACAGAAUAUUAAAAAGACAUAUACGUAAGAGUUGAGAUUUAAUAACAUUAAUAGUUUUUACUGCUUUGUCAAUGUUAUGGACUGAAUUGUGUCCUCCCCAAAUUUGUACUUCGAAUUCCUCACCCCAAGGACCUCAGAAUGUGACUAUAUUUGAAGAUAGCACCUUUAGAGAGAUAAUUCAGUUAAAAUGAGGUCUUUUGGAUUAGAUUAGGAUCCACCCUUAGGGCGAAUACUAUCCAGUUGGACUGAAAUCCUCAUAAGAAGAGGAACUUUGUACACACAAAGAUAAGAGACACCAGGGUUGUGCAAGCACAAAGGAAAGAUCAUGUGUGGACACAGUGAGAAGGUGGUAAUCUGCAAGCCAUGGAGAGAGGCCUCAGGAGAAACCAAUUUUAUGGGCACCUUGAUCUUGGACUUCCAGCCUCAGAACUAGGAGAAAAUCAAUUUCUGUUGUUUGUCACCUAGUAUGUGGUAUUUUGUUAUGACAGUGCACACAAACUGAUAUAGUCAAUAGCAUGUUUUAGUGAACGUGCUUUUUUUUCCCCCUGGAAAUAUGUGGCAGUGAAUAAUGCAAUGAUUAUUAAUGCAGAAUUGAUGCCACUGCCUUGAUUCAUGCUAAGGUGCCAGCAGUUUAACCCAUCAUUGCUUUUGUACCAUCAGUGCAAAUGUCAACACAAUGCAAAAGGCAAAUAACAUUUUGGCAUUACUGAGAAAAUGGUUUUGACUUCAUCAACUCCCUGAAAACAUCUUGGAGCCCCUAGAGGUCCAUGGACCAUCAUUUGAGAACUAUUGUUUUAAAUCUAUGUUAUUUGUGAGGCUGAAGCUGCAAUGGCUGCAGUGAAGCCCAGGCUCUCCCCACUGCUUCACCACUUUCUACUUGUUUCCUAGUGAUUAACAAAUCAUUUGUAUCAUAUUCUUGACUGAUGAAAGAAUAAGUGGUCAGGAGCCUUUAUGAUCAGCAGCCUCUUUCUGUAAACAUUAUGAUAUUGGCCCACAGGCUUUGGUUGGAGUCUCUAGAGUCAAGGACCAUGGUCGUGUUCCUCUGGUGUCUUGUUCUUGGUGGUACUCUGGGGGUCAGAUGCUGGAUCCAUGAUGACUGUUCUUUGGUGACAGAGCAAGGGCUCAGUGAAGGCCAAGAGACUGACUACAUCACCUUCAGUACCCAUACUACAUUUCUGUGGCAAUACUUCAGCCUUUCCAUUAAAAAUAAUGUUUACUUGUUUAAGGGACAGAGAAUUGGAAUGGUAACUUGAAUUUUUGGCAAAAUCAUAAAGAGGAGAAAAAGAACAACACGACUUGCAGAGCUAAAUGGUCAAAUAAUAUACUUAGCAACUGGACAGAAAUUAGAAGAGAUCAGGGUUUAGUACUGACACCCACAUAAGUUCCAAAAAUAGAGUCCUAGUUAUGCCCCCUCAUUCAUGGGCCCUCUGACAUACUUUGACUUUUGUCAAAACCAUCUCUUACCUUCUGUAUGAUGCUCACCCACCUGAGGGCAAAGUGAUCUUGACAAUCAACUAAUGGGAGUUCAUCGGAGCAUCUGUGGAAGUCUGGAACCACCUCCCCUUCCCCACAACUGGAAGGCUUGGUUUUGAACUAUUAUCAUGUCAGAUCUUGAAAAUCAGUGAUUUUAACAUACCUCACUUACGCCUGUGUCUUGAAUAAGAAUAAUACAAAAUGUGCAACAUUACCAUUAGUGGUUUUCUUAUUUACUUCACAAUAUAGUCAGCAACAGUCUUCAUUGUCGCCUUAGAAAUAUGUCCUUUGAAAUAUGUUCUCUGAACAGAGCCGCAGUCUUUAAGAAAAUAUGCUAAUUCUCAUGCAGCAUAUUGCAUUUUACUUUUUCACUGUUUAAAUAUUCUGAAGACUUCUUGGAUAUUUAAAAAUGAAAACUUUAGAAAAAAUUUUAGUGAAAGGUUCUGAAACAUUACAAAAAAGGAAUUAAUAGAAUCAACAUCUGUGGACUCAUCACCUAGAUUUAGAUUUAACCAUCAUGCAUGUUUGCCACAUUUGCCAUUUACUUUGGUCAAGUACUUAACAAUAAAUUAUGAACAUCAUGACUAUUCAUUCCUAAACAUUUCAGCAUACAUUUUUUAAAAAAAUAUUUUCCUACAUAACCAUAAUACCAAUUCCCACUUGACAAAAUUAACAAUUCCCUGAAAUCAUUUAGUAGCCAGCCCACAGUAAAUUUUCCUAAUUCUUUCCACAAUGUCUUUUACAGAUGGUUUUUUUAAAGCAAGAAUCCAGUUAAUGACUAUGUAUUUAAUUUGGUUGCUAUAUCUUUUCACUUUCUUUAAUGUGUAAUAGUCCUCUUCCACUGCACCUUUUCUCUUUUCCUUCCUUUCAUCUCAUUUAUUACUGAAGGGCCUGGUCUGUUGUCCUGUAGAAUGUCUCACCUCCUGGAUUUGUCUAACUAUUUCUUUGUGAAAUCCUUUAAUUUGUUCUUCUUGCUCCCUUGUCUCCUAUUAGAACUAGAGGUUUGAUUAGCUCAGUUUAUUUAUUUAUUUUUGGUAAGAACACUGGGUAGGUGAUGUUGUGUCCUGAAUCCUGCAUCAUGUCAAGAUGCACAUCAUGAUUUAAUGAGGCUAAUAUGGAUCAUUAGGAUAAGAUGAUGACAUAAAUAUCUAUCUUCUGUAAAGUUACAUGUUGCUAUUGCAACUAGCAUUAAUAUGAGAUCUUAAAAUGUUUUAAACUUUGUUUUUUGGCUUUGAAUAUUCUUUUCUUCAUGAUUUAUUGUGAGAAGCAGGAAGCUGGUUAUAUUUCUACUUUCUGUAAUUGUGAAUGCCUCCAGUCUGCUAUAACAGAAAGAAAUGUUACAAACCCAUCAUUAUAUGUUGAAACAUUAUCUAAAAGAGUCUAUUCUUUUAGGAAAUAAGCAAUCCAAGAAUGAUAUGCUCAAUUUCUGCACUAAAAAUGAGAAUUUAAUUAAAAGUGCUAUUUCUGGGAAUUGUAUAUAUUCCCUGAAAAUGGGAAUCAAAAUGGGCUCUUUUGAUUUUAUUUUGAGUGAGUUGACGUAUUCUAUCCUUUAAGCCAUAAGCCUACUUGUUUUGGACACUCUGUGGGGAAGCGUAGGUAUAGUUUUCUUACCAUGUGCAUUGCUUUUGGUCUCAUAGAUUUAAAAAGAGCAAUUCGACUUGGUGUGUCAACUGGUGAUGGAAAUCCCAGGAUGAGGGGAUUAAUCCCUGUGCUCUUGGAUCAAAAUAUGCAGGGUCAAGAGAAAAACGAAAGAGAGCCCAGGAUGUGACUCUUCCCAAUGCUGAGACAUACAGAGUGGAUUACAGCUGAGUGUUUUUGAACAAAGGCUUAAUAAACUUCAACCUCCGUGGUACCAAGUACUGAAGUCACAGUGAAAUACAGCAGUACAAAAACCCUCUUCUUCUUUUUCACCGUUUCUUGGCAUUUUGCCAUCACCAACCUCUGCCAUCGGAAUACCUCUAAAAUCUUUCACCAAUGCUGUUAUUGUGGUUAAAUGCUAUAAAACUCAGAGGCACAGAAUGAUUACAAUCACACAAAUCAAUGAGUAAAACACUAAAAACCUAAAAAAUUAAUGGACAAAGGGCAAAUGCAGAAAUUCACUUAUUGGUCAACAAACUUCAAAAAAUGUUUUAACUCUCUGGUAAUAAAAAUGCAAAUAAAGAAUUAAGAAACCAUUUUUUUUGUACAGAUAUCUAAGCAAUCCUUUUAGAAAAAAAGUGAUGUUCUCAAUGCUGGCAAGAUGUUGGUAUCAAUAUAAAUUGUUGUAUUUUUAUUGGAAACCAAUUAGUUUAUACCAACAGGGUGAAAAUAUUUAUACUAGUUUGAGCAAAUAGUUCCACUUUGGCAAAUUGACUUUAAGAACAUACUAUACCUGUUUGAAUAUAAAGUGAGGUUUAUCAUUGUCAGAGAAGAGAGAAUCCCCAUAAAAUGGAUUCCUUAUAAAAAUUACAAACAGCAAUAUUACAAUGCUUUCACGCAAUUAUUUUAUUUUGCACAAUUAAGUACAGUUUAGCGAAGACACAUUAACCUGGGAUGAUCUCAUUCAAUGCUGGUUCAUAGAUACUCAAGGAAGUCAGCUGAUGAGGUUAGUAAAAAGGUGACUAAGUAAUUUAACAAAACUUAGUAACUAUUCUUGCAAAUAUGUCUUUGAAAUUACAAAUAUUCAAUAUUGUUUAAAUAAAUCUUUUAAAGGAAA